AUUGAAUGCUGGCGGCAUGCCUUACACAUGCAAGUCGAACGGUAACGGGCCUUCGGGUACCGACGAGUGGCGAACGGGUGAGUAAUGUAUCGGAACGUACCUUUCAGUGGGGGAUAACGUAGCGAAAGUUACGCUAAUACCGCAUAUUCUGUGAGCAGGAAAGCAGGGGAUCGCAAGACCUUGCGCUGAUUGAGCGGCCGAUAUCAGAUUAGCUAGUUGGUGAGGUAAAGGCUCACCAAGGCGACGAUCUGUAGCGGGUCUGAGAGGAUGAUCCGCCACACUGGAACUGAGACACGGUCCAGACUCCUACGGGAGGCAGCAGUGGGGAAUUUUUGGACAAAUGGGGGGCAACCCUGAUCCAGCCAUGCCGCGUGAGUGAAGAAGGCC
rnacentral:rRNA from 1 species